GGUUAAGCGACUAAGCGUACACGGUGGAUGCCCUGGCAGUCAGAGGCGAUGAAGGACGUGCUAAUCUGCGAAAAGCGUCGGUAAGGUGAUAUGAACCGUUAUAACCGGCGAUGUCCGAAUGGGGAAACCCAGUGCAAUUCGUUGCACUAUCGUUAACUGAAUACAUAGGUUAACGAGGCGAACCGGGGGAACUGAAACAUCUAAGUACCCCGAGGAAAAGAAAUCAACCGAGAUUCCCCCAGUAGCGGCGAGCGAACGGGGAGCAGCCCAGAGUCUGAAUCAGCUUGUGUGUUAGUGGAACGGUCUGGAAAGUCCGACGGUACAGGGUGAUAGUCCCGUACACCAAAAUGCACAGGCUGUGAACUCGAAGAGUAGGGCGGGACACGUGGUAUCCUGUCUGAAUAUGGGGGGACCAUCCUCCAAGGCUAAAUACUCCUGACUGACCGAUAGUGAACCAGUACCGUGAGGGAAAGGCGAAAAGAACCCCGGCGAGGGGAGUGAAAAAGAACCUGAAACCGUGUACGUACAAGCAGUGGGAGCACCUUCGGGUGUGACUGCGUACCUUUUGUAUAAUGGGUCAGCGACUUAUAUUCUGUAGCAAGGUUAACCGUAUAGGGGAGCCGCAGGGAAACCGAGUCUUAACUGGGCGUUAAGUUGCAGGGUAUAGACCCGAAACCCGGUGAUCUAGCCAUGGGCAGGUUGAAGGUUGGGUAACACUAACUGGAGGACCGAACCGACUAAUGUUGAAAAAUUAGCGGAUGACUUGUGGCUGGGGGUGAAAGGCCAAUCAAACCGGGAGAUAGCUGGUUCUCCCCGAAAGCUAUUUAGGUAGCGCCUCGUGAACUCAUCUUCGGGGGUAGAGCACUGUUUUGGCUAGGGGUCAUCCCGACUUACCAACCCGAUGCACACUACGAAUACCGAAGAAUGUUAUCACGGGAGACACACGGCGGGUGCUAACGUCCGGACAAGAGGGAAACAACCCAGACCGCCAGCUAAGGUCCCAAAGUCAUGGUUAAGUGGGAAACGAUGUGGGAAGGCACAGACAGCCAGGAUGUUGGCUUAGAAGCAGCCAUCAUUUAAAGAAAGCGUAAUAGCUCACUGGUCGAGUCGGCCUGCGCGGAAGAUGUAACGGGGCUAAACCAUGCACCGAAGCUGCGGCAGCGACACUAUGUGUUGUUGGGUAGGGGAGCGUUCUGUAAGCCUGCGAAGGUGUGCUGUGAGGCAUGCUGGAGGUAUCAGAAGUGCGAAUGCUGACAUAAGUAACGAUAAAGCGGGUGAAAAGCCCGCUCGCCGGAAGACCAAGGGUUCCUGUCCAACGUUAAUCGGGGCAGGGUGAGUCGACCCCUAAGGCGAGGCCGAAAGGCGUAGUCGAUGGGAAACAGGUUAAUAUUCCUGUACUUGGUGUUACUGCGAAGGGGGGACGGAGAAGGCUAUGUUAGCCGGGCGACGGUUGUCCCGGUUUAAGCAUGUAGGCUGAUUGUCCAGGCAAAUCCGGAUAAUCAAGGCUGAGGUGUGAUGACGAGGCACUACGGUGCUGAAGUAACAAAUGCCCUGCUUCCAGGAAAAGCCUCUAAGCAUCAGGUAACAUUAAAUCGUACCCCAAACCGACACAGGUGGUCAGGUAGAGAAUACCAAGGCGCUUGAGAGAACUCGGGUGAAGGAACUAGGCAAAAUGGUGCCGUAACUUCGGGAGAAGGCACGCUGGUGUGUAGGUGAAGCCCCUGCGGGUGGAGCUGAGACCAGUCGAAGAUACCAGCUGGCUGCAACUGUUUAUUAAAAACACAGCACUGUGCAAACACGAAAGUGGACGUAUACGGUGUGACGCCUGCCCGGUGCCGGAAGGUUAAUUGAUGGGGUUAUCCGUAAGGAGAAGCUCUUGAUCGAAGCCCCGGUAAACGGCGGCCGUAACUAUAACGGUCCUAAGGUAGCGAAAUUCCUUGUCGGGUAAGUUCCGACCUGCACGAAUGGCGUAAUGAUGGCCAGGCUGUCUCCACCCGAGACUCAGUGAAAUUGAACUCGCUGUGAAGAUGCAGUGUACCCGCGGCAAGACGGAAAGACCCCGUGAACCUUUACUAUAGCUUGACACUGAACAUUGAGCCUUGAUGUGUAGGAUAGGUGGGAGGCUUUGAAGCGUGGACGCCAGUCUGCGUGGAGCCAACCUUGAAAUACCACCCUUUAAUGUUUGAUGUUCUAACGUUGGCCCCUUACCGGGGUUGCGGACAGUGUCUGGUGGGUAGUUUGACUGGGGCGGUCUCCUCCCAAAGCGUAACGGAGGAGCACGAAGGUUAGCUAAUCCUGGUCGGACAUCAGGAGGUUAGUGCAAUGGCAUAAGCUAGCUUGACUGCGAGCGUGACGGCGCGAGCAGGUGCGAAAGCAGGUCAUAGUGAUCCGGUGGUUCUGAAUGGAAGGGCCAUCGCUCAACGGAUAAAAGGUACUCCGGGGAUAACAGGCUGAUACCGCCCAAGAGUUCAUAUCGACGGCGGUGUUUGGCACCUCGAUGUCGGCUCAUCACAUCCUGGGGCUGAAGUAGGUCCCAAGGGUAUGGCUGUUCGCCAUUUAAAGUGGUACGCGAGCUGGGUUUAGAACGUCGUGAGACAGUUCGGUCCCUAUCUGCCGUGGGCGCUGGAGAAUUGAGGGGGGCUGCUCCUAGUACGAGAGGACCGGAGUGGACGCAUCACUGGUGUUCGGGUUGUCAUGCCAAUGGCACUGCCCGGUAGCUAAAUGCGGAAGAGAUAAGUGCUGAAAGCAUCUAAGCACGAAACUUGCCCCGAGAUGAGUUCUCCCUGAGACUUUAAGUCUCCUGAAGGAACGUUAAAGACGAUGACGUUGAUAGGCCGGGUGUGUAAGCGCAGCGAUGCGUUGAGCUAACCGGUACUAAUGAACCGUGAGGCUUAACCUU
rnacentral:rRNA from 1 species